GUGGGGAAUCUUCCGCAAUGGACGAAAGUCUGACGGAGCAACGCCGCGUGAGUGAAGAAGGUUUUCGGAUCGUAAAGCUCUUUCGUUAGGGACGAACGUGCUCUUUGUGAAUAAUGAGGAGUAAUGACGGUACCUAAAUAAGAAGCCACGGCUAACUACGUGCCAGCAGCCGCGGUAAUACGUAGGUGGCAAGCGUUGUCCGGAAUUAUUUGGCGUAAAGCGCGCGCAGGCGGGAUAUCAAGUCUGUCUUAAAAGUGCGAGGCUCAACCUCGUGAGGGGACAGAAACUGGUAUUCUUGAGUGUCGGAGAGGAAAGUGGAAUUCCAAGUGUAGCGGUGAAAUGCGUAGAGAUUUGGAAGAACACCAGUGGCGAAGGCGACUUUCUGGACGAUGUCUGACGCUGAGGCGCGAAAGCUAGGGGAGCGAACGGGAUUAGAUACCCUUGUAGUCC
rnacentral:rRNA from 1 species